GGCGGGCGCUGCGGGCCGGGCCCAGGUAGGCUCCGCGGGCGGCCCUGGCGGGAGCUCGGCCGGGAGGGGACGCCUGCGCACGCCGGGCCCCGCGGCGCCCCGUCGUUCCCCGGCGCUUGCUUUUUAGCGACCCUCCAACGCCUCGACUCUCCGCGAUGCCGCCGAAGCAAAGUAAAAGAAAACGGAAAACGUCUGGUUUCUGGGCGUUCUCUAACAGCCGGACCGCUCACAUUCUGGAAAACCUCUGUCAACACGCUUCCACCUCCGCAAAGGAAGCCCAUUUGGAAGAAAACUCUAACACAAGUAGACUUCACUUCGUUUUAGUUUGGCAUUUUAGAGAGAAUUUCCGAUUUAUUUUUGGUUUUAAGUCUGAUGUGAGGGAAGGAUAAAGAGAGCAUACUCCCACCUCCUCCGACUUCCAGUGUGCGUCUAAGAACAAUUGGAGAGGUAAUAGAACUGUUAAGCAGGCCAUGUCUUGCAAGUCAAGGUUCGGUUCAUUUUUCUUUGCAUAUUCCAAGAAAUCAUAAAUCUUGCUGAAGCCAGUUGUCUUGCCAUACACCAAAAUGGUCUCUGAAUCCAAAUACAAAGAUGACAUGUGGUGUGGUGUUGUACAUUUUGGCUCAUUUUCCCGGAAUUUCUGUGUUAGGUAUUGUUGCCUUCCCAGGGUGAAGGACAUUGAUAACCAUUUGUUUCC
rnacentral:lncRNA from 1 species